rnacentral:rRNA from 1 species
UACGUAGGGGGCAAGCGUUGUCCGGAAUCAUUGGGCGUAAAGAGCGUGUAGGCGGCCCGAUAAGUCCGCUGUGAAAGUCCAGGGCUCAACCCUGGAAUGCCGGUGGAUACUGUCGGGCUCGAAUCCGGAAGAGGUGAGUGGAAUUCCUGGUGUAGCGGUGAAAUACGCAGAUAUCUGGAGGAACACCGGUGGCGAAGGCGGCAUCCUGGACCAAUUCUGACGCUGAGGAGCGAAAGCCAGGGGAGCAAACGGG